UACGUAGGGUGCGAGCGUUAAUCGGAAUUACUGGGCGUAAAGUGUGCGCAGGCGGCGCCGCAAGUCGAGUGUGAAAGCCCCGAGCUUAACUUGGGAAUUGCGCUCGAAACUAUGGUGCUGGAGUGUGGCAGAGGAAGGUGGAAUUCCACGUGUAGCGGUGAAAUGCGUAGAGACGUGGAAGGAACACCGAUGGCGAAGGCAGCCUUCUGGGCCAACACUGACGCUCAUGCACGAAAGCGUGGGGAGCAAACAGG
rnacentral:rRNA from 1 species